GCAUCAAUGGUGAUAUUUGUAAUAUGUUUAGUGUAUGAUAACUAACCAUUAUAAUAAACGCAAAUCGGUCACUGUUGACCGAUGACAGGAUGGCGUCUCUCAGGACGGAGAAUUGUAUUGCUUAUUAUAUCGCUGGUACGACACAAUGCGCCAGCAUAUGUACUGCGGUGUCUGAGAAACCUCUUAUCGUCAUAAACAAUUUAAGAUAAUCAAUAAUGAAAAUUAUGAAUAAUAAUGGGGUUAAAUGAGGGCCUAAAAGAGCCCUGAGGAAUGUAUUCCUGAAGUCAAUGUACACCAAAUUUACACGUUGUUUACUGUUCGAUAUGUAUGCAUUGUAUAACCACUGGAAAUGUUGAGGUUGGUAACCGUGGACUUGUCCGGAAUAAACAUACCAGUAUUGCCCAUCGCUAGCUAUACAUGCCACCUGUCUGGCAAUUGGUGGAUGCC